rnacentral:rRNA from 1 species
GAUCCUGGCUCAGGACGAACGCUGGCGGCGCGCCUAACACAUGCAAGUCGAACGAGAGAGAAGGAGCUUGUUUCUUCGAUCGAGUGGCGAACGGGUGAGUAACGCGUGAGGAACCUGCCUCAAAGAGGGGGACAACAGUUGGAAACGACUGCUAAUACCGCAUAAGCCCACGGGUCGGCAUCGAUCUGAGGGAAAAGGAGCGAUCCGCUUUGAGAUGGCCUCGCGUCCGAUUAGCUAGUUGG